CCCUCUUUUGCUCAUAUAGUUAUUUAUCUUAAGAAAUUUAUUAAAUAUGUAAAAAUAUUAAAUUUUGAAAUCAUUUGUUAAUAUUUGAAGUCGUUUUACCCUCCAAAAUCUAUAAAGUUAAAAUCUUAACUGAGGUCUAAUCCUAGAUUCUCGUAAAUUUCAUAUGGGAAUCUUGAUGAUGCUGCAUCAUCAAACAUAUGACUCUCCUCUAAUGAAGCAGCAAGUCAUGGCACACAACAGAGACUGAGAGAGUGAUCCAGGAGGACAUUAGUGGACAGCUAUGUGGUUCGUAGAAAUCAAACUCUCUUCAAGUUCAACUGGAGUGCGAAUUUAUCAAGUGCAUCUUACUUAUUCAACAACCUUUUAAGAAUCAUUAGUAAAUAAGAAAUGCCACUCAAAUUAUGAAUUAAGUUGUAGCAAUUAUGCUCGUGGUUUUGGCAUAUUUAACUCGAUUGAUGUUUAUGCUAGCUUUUAAUUUCUUUCAAAGUAUUGAUCAGCCCCUUAGCCAUGGUGCUUCUAAUAUUUCUUCUUCCAUUUUAGCUUUUAGAGCAAGAGUUAGCGGUAUUAGCUCCCCCUUUCAACGACCCAUAUAUGUCUAAGCUCUUAUUUGUUUGCAUUAAAUGGAUAUUUUGAUUUUGAACCAUUCAUAUAUCAGCUUAUUAAGUGUCAUUUAUUUUA